CAUACUUACAUACACACACAGACAUACUGACACACAAAGACAUGCUGACACACACACACAGACAUACUGACAUACACACAGACAGACUGGCACAUACACACAGACAGACAUAAAAACAUUCACAGAUACAUACUGACACACACAUACACUGACACACAAAUAUAUCCUGGCAGACAUACUGACACACACGUACACACACACACAGAGACAUACCUACAUACACACACACAGACAUACUGGCAUACACACAGACAUACUGACACACACACACACAGACAUACUGGCAUACACACAGACAUACUGACAAACACACACACACACACACACUGACAUACACACAGACAUACUGGCAUACACACAGACAUACUGACACACACACACACACUGACAUACACACACAGACAUACUGGCAUACACACAGACAUACUGAC